UGGGGGAUAUUGCACAAUGGGGGAAACCCUGAUGCAGCAACGCCGCGUGAAGGAAGAAGGUCUUCGGAUUGUAAACUUUUGUCCUUGGUGAAGAUAAUGACGGUAGCCAAGGAGGAAGCCCCGGCUAACUACGUGCCAGCAGCCGCGGUAAUACGUAGGCGGCAAGCGUUGUCCGGAAUCAUUGGGCGUAAAGGGAGCGCAGGUGGACGUAUAGGUCCUUCUUAAAAGUUCGGGGCUCAGCCCCGUGAGGGGAAGGAAACCAUGCGUCUUGAGUGCAGGAGAGGGAAGCGGAAUUCCUGGUGUAGCGGUGAAAUGCGUAGAUAUCAGGAAGAACACCAGUGGCGAAGGCGGCUUUCUGGACUGCAACUGACACUGAGGCUCGAAAGCCAGGGAAGCGAACGGGAUUAGAUACCCUGGUAGU
rnacentral:rRNA from 1 species